GGGAGAGUCGACAUCCAAGAUAUCUGUAUAGAUGUAAUUAUUGAUAUUGUUACUAAUGUAAUGUUGCUAAAAUAAAUUUUGCUCUUGUUAUAACAUAUGUUUCAUAAUUACACAUGAAUACACAUAUAUACAAAAACAUACAUGAUUUUUGAUGUGAUAUAUUGACAUAUAGUAGGAGACAUACCAACCAAGAACUUUCAAGAAGUCAAAUGCAGUGACUCCAAAUGGUCAGUGGCCUCAGUAAUGUAACUGAGAAGAUGAAGGUGCCUAGCUUGAACUUGUCUGCCUCAAAAUUACUCUUCAUUUCUGGUCUUUCUCAUGAUACAUGUUUCUCCUUCUUUUGUUUUGUGACUCCAUCAUACUGAGUGUCUUUUAAUAUAUGUUGUGGCAUGUCUGAAUAAGUGUAACCAUUCUCAGAGGCUGCAUCUCUUAUCUGCUUACUAGUAUACAAAAAUUACUAGGUUAUCUUCCUGACAUCUAUUCUCCACACACAUGGUGUCACACACAUGGUGCAACCUCUGAUGAUUCUGUAGGUAGUAUUGCCUUCAGACCGGUUCCAUAUUCAUCAUCUUAUGGUGAUGGUGUUGGGCAGGGUUAUUGUUAUCAGCUCUGGUCUCUUUUAAGACGGGUGAGUUUGUGGUAUUGCUACUCAGUGACAGGAGCCUACCUCUGCUUUCAUGCAAUUCUUCCAUAUCUUGUCUGACUUCUUGUGAGCUAUUUGUGGAAAUUUGGGGAGAUAGUUUGUUUAUUUAUUUAUUUAUUUAUUUAUUUAUUUAUUUAUUUAUUUAUUGCUGCUUUGCUUUAUGUCCACAUAUAGUUUUAAUUUUCUAGCUGAUUUUAUAUUUUUGACUCUAUGUAAAUGCUUUUUAACUGUUUCUUUUACUAGUUUUCUUGGUCAGUCAGCUCACAGCCAGCAUGAACAAUAAGUCAAGAAUUUUUACCGCUCCACUAUCUGCUUUCUGAAAAUCUCCAUAAAAUUUUUAAUUUUCUUUUUGGAGAACAAGCGAAUGCAAUAGUUAAGUCACAUUCAGUCACAUGUUAAUACCACCAUCUUGCUCCCCCUCUCCAGUUCCUAAGAUGCAUUGUGUGACUAUAAUUUUACUUUUUGAAAAUCAUCUUGAGAACAAGGUGUCUAUCAUAAGAACAUUUGGAGUUUUAAACCCGUAGUUAAAGUCAAUGGUUUUACAUGUACAUGAAGCUCAAAGAUAAAUUUUGAUUUGUUUUUAUGGAUAAUUAUGCAGUAAAUGCUAUUAGGUGUGUAUUAUGUUACAUUUCUGGUGGAGGGGUGUGAUAAAAGUGACUUUUGUCCUGAACUAUGGUAUUGAUGACACAUCAAAGAAACAAUCAAUAAUAAAGAAACUCAGAUUGCUGAACUAGAAUGCAUUGGAGUUCCUUACAUGAGUAUGAAUUAGUACCAACAGAAUAGCCACAUUUGUAAAUAUUCACAGAAUUCACAGAAACCCUAUUCUGGGAACCCACUGCACAGUUUGCAACCAGCUACCCUGAAUCCUCUCGUCUUUUAUAACCAUUUUCUGUGAAUACGUCCUCCAGGACUGGUUCCUGAUUCACACAAAUUCCUUCUGAGUUUGAGUAACUUCUAGUACUUCUCCAUUUAGGAGGAAACUCUUCCGAGGACAUAGCUAUCGAGCAAACCAAAGAGUUUGUGUAUAAACAAGAUGAUGAUAAAUGUGAAUAAGAAUCUCAAAAGUAUUUUGAAAAAUAUGGACAUAUGAGAGGUAAAUAUGUGAGUACACACCGCAAAAAAUGAAAAAUUGUUGAUGGUGUUGAGGACAUUACAGAAGGUGCCCACCGUGCACCACAACAGAAGUACACACUGAAGUUAUAAACAUGAUGCUAAGAAAUAAGUCCCCAAAUUAUAUUUAAAAUUAUUACACUUAUCUUCAAAAUACUAUUUCUGGAUAUGUGAUUUGUUGGCAGAGAAGAAUAUAUACAAAUAAAAUAAGAGCAGAAGAGAUAUGAAUUUUUUUAACCCAUAUAACAUGAAUGGCGCAUGAUGCUUAAGUUCGAUAGAUGUACUGAAGUCAGGCUCAAACGAGGCAAUAUAGCCAAGAUAUAAACUUAUGUAUCUGAGCUCUGUGCUGUGUCUAAGAUGGAAAUGUAUCUUUUAUUUGGCAAAUUUAAUUGGUGUUUCAGAGGCUUUUGGUUGAAUAAACUCACCCUGCUCUUUCUGAACUUUUGUUUUCUGGGUAAACUCAGGGCUUCUGGCCCAAUAUCUGCUCCAAGCAGACUGAUUCAAUCUGGAUUCUCUUGGCUUCUUAUGGAACUCCUCUGCUUGACUUAACUCUGCUUAACUCUGGCAAUCUGUUCUAUUCUUAUGGCUCCUUCUCAUCCUCUGGCUUAUUCUGUCUUUUUGUGUUUAUGGUUUUUUAUUUGGCACUUGUCUGAGUAAAGCUGUCUAAUUAAAACACAGGCACACACAUACACACACACACACACACACACACACACACACACACACACACACACACACACACACACUCCCAAUGCUGCUCUCAUGUAUUUACUCUUUCAUAUCUGUUCUUAGGACAGUUAGGUGUAUCCUAUCUCUGGCUCAGUCUGUCAACUCUUUCUCUGAUUCAUUAUCACUUUGUCUGUCCCACAAUUAGAAGUCAAUCUCAAACAUACAUGCUUCCUUCUACAAACUAACCUUACCUUUAUUGUUAGGGAUUAAAAGUGUGCAUUUGGUAUUCUAGUCAGAUUACAUAGAUCUUAAGGGUUUUUGGCUAGGAUCCUUUGCCACAGCAAGCAUAUCACUGGAAUAAAAUACCUCUAUACUAAGAACACUUUCAAAGAGGUCACCACAGAAAAUUAUAACACAGAGAUAUUUACAUAAAAAUUCAAAAUAAUUGCAAAACUACAGUUAUGAAGUACUUCAUUAAAUAAAUCAGAAGUGCAUUCUUUGUUUCUCUUUUUGUUGCCUGAAGAGAACCCUCCCACACCAAAGACCCUAGGACAUAAGGGUGAAGGUUUCAGGUAGGCAUCAGCUCAACUUCACUUUCAAUAAACUCUGUAGGUCUUGUGUUAGGCAAAUGAACUGCACUUUCAGUUGACAGAGGGUAAACAGUUGUCUUAGCCACAGCCUGGGUUGCUUAUGUUAUAAGACCCUGACUGUCAGUCAGUGGCACUUAACUUCAUGGCAUCCCCAGAGAGGCACCAAGACACAGAUCGAUGCAAAAGCAAGAGUUUUAUUUUGUGGCACAUUGGGGUCAACAGAGGAAUGGAUACAGAAAUUGUGGUACAUCAACACAAUGGAGUACUAUUCAGCUUGUAAAAACAAUGACUUGAUGAAAUUCAUAGGAAAUUAAAGAAACUAGAAAAUAUCAUCCUGAGUGAUGUAACCCAAUCACAAAAAACACACACAAGGUACACACUCAUUGAUAAGUAGAUAUCAGCCCAAAAGCUUGGAUCACCCAAGAUACAAUCCAUAAACCACAUGAAGCUCAAGUAAAGGAUGACCAAAGUGUGGAUGCUUCAGUCCUUUGUAGAAGGGGGAACAAAAAUAUUCAUAGGAGGGGAUAUGGAGACCAAGUUUAGAGCAGAAACUGAAGGAAUGGCCACUCAGAGCCUGUCCCACCUGGGGAUCUGGCUCAUACACAUAUAGCUACUAAACCCAGACAAUAUUGCUGAUGCCAAGAAGUGCAGGCUGACAAGAGCCUGAUAUAGGUGUCUCCUUAGCUGCUUUGCCAGAGCAUGACACAUACAGAAGUGAAUGCUUGCAACAACCAUUGACCUGAGAACAGGGUCCUGAUUGGAGGACUUAGAGAAAAGUUGAAGGAGCUGAAGAGGUUUGCAACCCCAUAAGAACAACAAUAACAAUCAUGCAGAGCUGCCCAGGACUAAACCACCAUCCAAAGUGUACACACAGACAGACCCAUAGCUUUUUAGGGGGACAGAUUACAUCUGCAAGGUUACAGUUCAAACUUACUGGCUAAGCAUAUUGACCUUUAAUGAGAAGAUCAUGACAAGCAUUUGAACAUUAUCUGAAACUCUGCAGACAGUCAGGAGACUGUCAGUAAAUUCUGUGGUUUUUCAAGAAUGCUCCUGCUACUUCAAAGAACUGUAAGUAGAGAAUAAAACUUGGCCUAGCCUUGACCUGAGGCAGGUGGGUGUAAGGCAAGUGAAAGCUCCUAUUGUUCUUCAUUGUUUAAUCACGAGCUGGCCUUAUCCAACAUAAAGCCAUAUACAGCAAACCAGUUGCUAACAUUAAACUAAAUGGAGAGGAACUUGAAGCAAUCCCACUAAAAUCAGGGACUAGACAAGGCUGCCCACUCUCUCCCUACUUAUUCAAUAUAGUUCUUGAAGUUCUAGCCAGAGCAAUCAGACAACAAAAGGAGGUCAAGGGGAUACAGAUCGGAAAAGAAGAAGUCAAAAUAUCACUAUUUGCAGAUGAUAUGAUAGUUUAUUUAAGUGAUCCCAAAAGUUCCACCAGAGAACUACUAAAGCUGAUAAACAACUUCAGCAAAGUGGCUGGGUAUAAAAUUAACCCAACAUCUCAAAUGAAUGCAACUCAGUCCCUUUACUGGAAGCCUCUCUUGCUGACAAGAGAUGGCCAGUUGAGACUUUGUAUCUCCCAUCAUUGUUCCUCACUAGAAAUGCCUUCCUUCGAUUUAAAGUCUUCCACUGCACUAGGUUUCCAUAUCAUGCCUCAAAUGCACUGCAAUUCUAGUUAUCUCUCCCAGGAUCCUCUCCCUCUAACCUCUCUCCCAUCCCACUCCUCACCUGAUGCAUUCAUUUUCUUCCCACAGGUCACCAGACCACCUGUAAAAUCUAUUCUAUCUCCCACUUCCUUGGACCAUGUGUCCUUCCUAGUUCAUUUCUCUAUACUCAAUCUCUGGGUGUAUGAAAUGCAGGUUGGUUAUUAUCAUUUAUCAACUAAUAUUCACAUGUAAGUGAGUAUAUAUAGUAUAUUUCUGGGUCUUAUUUAUGUCACUCAGGAUGCUGUUUUUUUCUUUUUCCAUCCAUUUGCCUGCAAAUACCAUGCUGUGAUUUAAAAAACAAACAGACAUACAAAACCACAGCUAAUCCUUCUCUAUCCAAAUCUAUCACAUUUGCCACUAAGGAGCUUUCCAAUACAGGACACAAUGCUUUGUUCCUUGAAAACUGCCCAGUGACAUUGAAUGGAGAACUUUCAAAAGGAAAGCCUUUGUUCAGCCUAGUGGUUUUCAAGAAUGUUCCUGCUCCUACUGAAAGACCCCCUCCCCCCUGAAAGGAAAACUAUACACAACUAUAAAAGUAAAAAAACUAAGUUUUAAAAUUCACAGGCUCAGAGCUGAAACAGGCCCGGGCGAGCCCAGGCACGCCCAAGGCCCUGUGGGGCCUGCCCCGCAGUUAAAACGGACAGACCACAAAGAUAAGGAAGAAGGAAUGCAGAACCAGCCCCAGGUAUCGGAACUGACUCAUAGGCCAUCUGGCAGUAAGGGAUAAGCCCCUAGUCCCUGACAUUCCGGACGCCUCAGCCUGCAUGUAAACCAUGCAUCCGGGCCUCAUUUGAAUCCACCAAUCAAGUCCCUGUAACCAUGCAUCUGCUUCUGUAUGCCUGCUUCUGCUCCCCAGAACCCUAUAAAAACCCGUCCCCAGUCUUGCUGGGCGCACCAGUCCUUCCGAGCUGACUGAGACGCCCGCAAUACUGUGUACCUGGACAAUAAACCCUCUUGCUAAUUGCAUCUGGUGGUCUCGGCCUGGUCAUUGGGCUUGGGGAUCUCCUUCCUGAAGGAAGAUUCUCUAUGAGGGUCUUUCACUACUUAGAACUGUGAUUAAAGAAACCAACCUCUACUCCACUUCUUGGGGAUUUGAAUGAGAAUGGCCCUACAGACUUACAUAUUUGCAUUCUUAGUCACCAGAAAUGAAGUGUUUGGGAAAGGAUAGAAGUUAUAGCCCUGUUUAGAUUAUAGUGCCUAUUGAAAGAAGUAUGUCACUAGGGAUGUCAAUUGGAGGAAGUGGGUCACUGGGAGACUGGGAGUGCCUAUUGGAGGAGGUAGGUCAUUGGGAUGACUAUUGAGUAAGUGUUUCACUGUGUUUGGUUUUGAGGUUCAAGAUACCACUAACAGGACCAGUCUGUCUGUCUGUCUCUCUGUCUCUGUCUCUCUCUGUCUCUCUGUCUCUCUGUCUGCCUGCCUCUCUCUCUCUCUCUCUCUCCCUCCCUCCCUCCCUGCCUCAUUUCUUCACUAUGAAAAGCUCUUACAUGACAUCAUAGAUUCAUUGUGUAAAACCACAGCAAAGCCCCAAUUAAAUGCUUCCUGUUUAAAGAAUUGCCUUGAUCAUGAUAGUUCUUCACAGCAAUAAAUAGUAACUAAGACACCUGCUGAGGACAUGUCCAUGAAUAUAACAUAUACCAAUAUUAUCAGUUGAAAUAUGUAAUUACAUUUCAAUGAUACAUGACUUUAAUAAUGACCACAGGUAGGUAACACGUGACACUCUUUCUGAACUAAGAGUCUUAGAAAUAGUCAUCAUCUUCUCUGGGUUGUAUGCUUUCAGCUGCCCACAUUGCAGCCAGGAAGGGCUGUUUUUGCCUUCCAUUCUAGCUUGUUUUGUACUCUGUCCCUUUUAAAACAUGGUUUCUGAGAUUAUGAUUGACUUUAAUGUGCCUUAUGACAUCAUUUUCCCUCUUAGCCAAUCAGCACCUAGUAGAAUCUUAAGGUUACCAUGGAGCUGAGUAAAUAAUUCUGGCUCAGUGUUUAGCUGAUCUGCUUCAAUGCACACGUGAUUUUUUCUUGUGAAACCCAAUAACCCAUUUUCUUAUCCCUUUAUCCAGAACCUAUACCUCUAUGAAUAUUCCCGCCUCCACAGUGUUAGGAAGGAAAAGAAACUAACAUGUUUAUUUAGUAGGACAGUAUUGCAAAUUGGGAAACAUCAAAAUAAGGUGAGAUUGAGGAGAAAGUACUGAGAGACAAGAUGGUGCCCUAUCCAUUGUCUUGGCUCUGACAUUUCCAAGGGUUGGAACUUUGGACUGAGCAUUUACUUGCUCUCUAGGGAAUUUUGUCUUUAGGAUAGAGAAGGAAACCAGAUAGUUUGUGGACUAUUUCAACGGAUGUAGAGAGAGAACUGGAUAUAGACACAUGAGUUCUGAGGGCCAAGAUGCUUAUCUUUUGUUGACUGCCUCCACAGAAAUUUCCACAAUAGUACUUCACAGUUGGGGCUAUUCAAGAGUAAUGUUGAGUUGAAAUUCAAUAAGACAUCUGCCACUAUUCAAGCAGCAGCUAAGAUUGACUAUACUUUGCCACCUGUGUAGAUGUACAUUUCUCCUCGAUGGUUGUGAACAGUUGUGCUCUCCCUGUUUCACACACUGGAUUAAAGAUGGGUACCUUACUGAUGGAGAAGGUUGAAACUUAGUUUUGGUAAAUGGCUUACAGAUUACGACACAUACUGACUGACAGUAAAAACAAAGUCCUAAUGUGAUUAGUUAGGAUACGGUGGCAUUUACCUGUAAUGUCAGCUCUUGGAACCUGGAGGCAUGAAAUCCAAGAACAUCAGAGUCUCUGUUGUACAGUACUUUCAGAAGAGCCAAUCUGGGUGUAUAAGGCAAUUACUCAAGAAAUAAAGUGAAACAAAAAAUUUAAAAAUUAGCAUUCCUGGUUUUAGAAAACUGCCUAAACACCACUAAGUUAGAAGGGGGGCGGGGAUCACUGGCAGUAAGAAACCUAAUGCUCUUGAGACCUUAAGUUAUGGGUCAUUUAUCAAAAAGUCAGACCAACUGUACCUGGAGAACUUGAAGAAAAUUAAAAUACAUGAUGCAGGGGAUGGAGAGGAGAGAGUAUAGAAGCACAGGCAAAAGGUAAACAUAGAACACAGAAGAGUUAACCAUGUAAACCAGAGAGCUCAGCAGAGAAUACUGAAGUCAGACAAAUGACAUUAAAAAAAUUAAAAGGACACACUGGAUAGAAAUUGUUCAGCACUUAGCAACAGAGAAGGAUUUAGUGAACAUAUAGGUCAAUAGACCAAUAGACCACGAAGGAACCUGAGGCUGGGACAGGGUGAGAAUUGCAGGACAAGCUUAUCAGCACCUUUGGUUUUUAAAUUUUGUCUUCUGCAUCCUUAAACACUGGUGAUGCUUGACAAUUACGAAAACGAGUAUUCGAUGAAUACACUGUGGUACUAAUUCUUAGUGCAGUGUCUGGGCUCAGCAGUGCAACUCUAGCACCCAAGUGGCUGAGGUAGAAGGACUGGUGCUGGUUCAUCACAACUCUACGAUGAAUUAUGAAUUACAGGUCAGUUCUGGCCAUGAAGUCAAAAUUAGUACACAUACAAAAAGAAAAAUAGAAUUCUUUCUGAGCACAUGUUGUUGACAUGUCCCAAAGGGCUGAGAUUACUGGGGCUUUUCUUUCCCUCUGACCUUCAGAGAGGGCAUGAACAGGAGAAAUCAUUGUGACCUAGUCUCUCUGUGAUUGGACUUUAAGCUAAAGCUCAUUUCCCAGCUUCACAGUCAUUUACUUCACAAGACAGAGUUUGACCUUUGCAACCAUAAAGAAUUAUAAAGCUACAAAGCAAUGACAGGAAUUCAGUAAGACUCAGUUGUACAUCUCUAAUUUAUCUGAGUUCCCCCCUACCAAGAAAUUCUGGAGCUAGGAUUACUAGUACAGCUUUAUGAUAUUAGUCUACCUCCUAGCUAGUCCACACCUGACUCAUCCUGGGGUCCUUAUGAUGAGGACGAAACUAGUCAGACACAUGUGGUCUUUUGUUCAUGAAAUCUGACAGUGUCCUUAACUCUCUGAUUCUUAAAACUGUUUUCAUAUUACAUACCUCAUAAAGUAUGAUAAGGAAAGACAUUUAAACAUUCCUUCCUUGAGUUUUGUCAUAUAUUUUGAGAAAACCCGACAGAGUGGAAGCAUGAGCAAAAGUACUGAACUAGAAUUUGGUGGCCUAGCAUCAGUUUUGGCCCUGAUAUAUUUGACCUUAUGAUUCUGGGCAGAGAAUUUUCUUUUCCACUAACUGGAUCUUCACAUUCCACAGUGGAAAUGUGAAGGCUGGUAUCUGGGCUCACUUGGAGGUUGGGUGUUUAGGAAAGCACAGUGUAGAGAAACCACCCAAUUGGUCUAUGAGAUGAUGUUCAGAGAAGCAGACAGAGAGCUGGGGUGUACACAGGAACUCUUAGAGCCAAGAUGUCUUACUGUGGCAACCAUCCUCCACCCACUUUCCACAUUAGCAUCUGAAUGUUAGCACUGUUCAAAGAUAGUGUUGGGAAGUGAGGAAAAGCUGCUGCUAAAUCUGCCAACCUUCCAUGAACAGGGAUGUCCUAGCUGAAGUCUCUGGACAGGCAGCUAUUUCCUACUCAGGAAUGAGAUUAUAACUCUCAUCAACCUUGGGUUUAUGGUGUGAAUGGAACCUUUAGAACAGAUCAAUGGGACUGGGUAUCAUGCCUAGGACCCAGGGACAGUUGUGUUCAUGCUGUGGUCCCCCAGACUUUGUAAAAGUAAUUUCAGAACCAGGAUUCCUUGUUCAGAUGUGCUUUCUGAGCACUUGGUGGCCAUGGAGAUUCAGGCUUUUAAUCCUGCAGUUCGGUGAGUGAAGCAGAAUGGUAGCCACAACCUGCAUUGUCCAUUGAUACACUCAAAAUUUUCAUUGAAAAAUAGGCUUAAGCCAAUGUUUUCUUUUUUCUAUAGGAAUUAUUAAUGGAGAUUCAAGAUGGCACACCAGGCAUUACUUUAGCAAUGCACACAUUAAAAUUAAUUAACAAUCAUUCACAGAGAAGCAAAGGAUCUCCUUUCCUAACUACUUCUUUAUCUUAUCUUGUGACAGGAGGGAACCUUUUGAUACCUAGGCACUCCCAACAACAGAGUCUAGGUAAUAAAGGACCUGCCUCUGCUGGAGCAACAAAUGUGGUAUGUCUCAAUGCAGUUAUGAAUAAAGAUAAUAUGCAUGAAAUUAUAUGAAGGAAAUUUAAAAUCUCAGUGUCUUUUUCUGUGUUUAGACUAAUGUGUGUGUGUUUGUUUGUGUGUGUGUGUGUGUGUGUGUGUGUGUGUGUGUGUGUGUGUCUGUUGGAGAGCUGGAAUGGCAGCAUGGCAGAAGAUGUGUUUAGACAUUUCCCUGUCUCUUAUGUCUUAAAACAUUCAUAGACAUGGUGAUGUCUCUCUCCCUCCAAACAAGCGGUUCCAAAUAUUAAGUGCUCUUGGGCAGAACAUUGAAAUCAACAAUAAUUCUUCCUUGGCCAUGUACAUGAGUCUGAGGAAAAACCUCAUCAAAAUGGCAGCCAAGCAGGAUAAAUGAGGAGAAGAAGAAACAACCUUUGUGCUAUAUCAUAAAUUUCUAACAUGAGAAACCUGCAGUUUCUCUCUCCUUUCCUGGGACUGUUUACUAACUGAUCCUGCUUUUCUAUAUAGGUUCUUUCCUUGGUGACACCUAUGGAACUUUAGGAUGUAAACUUGUACUCUGAUUUCCGGCAAUACACACAUAUGCUUUUCCUUGCAAUCCAAAGACAUGAGGACCAAAGAUGCUGAUAUCAAAAAUAAGGAAUUUCACUAGUAGUAUACUUGUUCGUAAGCCUUGUUCACACAUAGUACAGCUCCCAGGGAAAGAAAGGGUGGCAGAAAAGAAGGGUGUAUCUGAACUGGUGAGUAUUUAGACCUCCAAAUCUACUCUCAGACAGAUACAGGAUUGUCCCUGAUGGGUGGAAAAGCCUCUUCAAAAUGGCAGCCGAUCAGGAUAAAUCUGGACAAGACAUAGCAGCCUUUGUGCUAUAUCAUAAAUUUCUAAUGUGAGAAAACUGCAGUUUCUAUCUCCUUUCCUGGGACUCUUCACUGGCUCAUCCUGCUUUUCUACAUAUGGUUCUCUUCUUUUCUGACAGCUAUGAAACUUGAGGAUGUGCAGUCCAAAGAUAAGAGGACCGUAGGGGAUGAUAUCACAAAUAAAGAAUUUCACUAGUAGUACACUCAGUUCUUAAGCCUUGUGCACACAUAGUAAAGCUCACAGGGUAAGAAAAGAUGGCAGAGAAGCAGGGUGUAUCUGAACUGGUGAGUAUUUAGACCUUCUAAUGUGCUCUCAGUCAGAUACAGGAUUGUCUCUGUUGAGUGGCCAAGCAUAUUGAGUUGUAUGGGGGAGAGGUACGAAUUCCUGUAGCUAUACAAUCACCAGAUGGUGGACCACCUCGGGUCAGUGUAGUUAAGCACAGCUUGGCUUCCACAAACUGUUCAUUAUAUUGGGUAGGCAGAAGAAAAAAGAAAUUACAGAGUUGUUCCCUGGAAAAAGCCUAUAUAGCCUCAGUGACAAGGGUGAUUUGCCUUUGAAUAACAGAAUAAUAGAAAAUGUCACACCAAUCAUGAAUGGCCCUGAGUUUGGUCAAAUAGUACAUAUGGAGUUGCCCAUGACCGUUAGGUACUCAGAGACUGGGGAAGAAGUGAGGAGUUUUCUGGACAUGACUUGAUCUUUAGAAGACUGUGUGCGCAUCACCUUCCUCUUUCACAGAGGAAAAAGCUCUGAUUUACAGAUGAGCUCAGGUACCACAGUUUGCAUUAUCAUUGUUGUUCAACUCCUAGAACUGCAAUGGUCCAUUGCUGGUUUUCAUUAAAGUGCAGGCAUUCUCCUAAGAUCAAACACACACACACACACACACACACACACACACACACACACACACACACUAGAGUAUGGUACUAAGAAGAUUGAGACCAAAUUCUUCUGAAGAUAGAUAGAUAUACAGAAACUGAGUAAGGAGGAAAUAGUGGUUUUCCACCACACCAGGGAUACAGAACCUAGGCUACGUGCCAGAUCUGAACAGAACUACACUUGGGUAAUGUCUAUACUAACAAGACUUUUCUUCCAAGAAUUGAAGUAUUGAUCCAAAUCCCUUUGCCUUCCUGCAGAAGAAUAAAGAAAAGGACUAGCCCAGAAAGCAGCCUUCUGGGAGGACAUAAUGGAAAUCCUGCUGAGGGCUGGAUUUUUAAGUGGGCUUCCUUUCCUUUUGCUCAACCUGGAGCACCAUUACCAUCAAAAAAAUCUUUGCCAUAUUCACUAUCAAAAAGAACCUUCAUUCCACCAUCAGCAUCUUCAGGAAAAGAAGCCUAUGAUGAAGCAACCCCAAGAACAUCAGCAUCUGCCAGGGAGGCUGCAAAAACUGUCAUCAAGGAAAGGCCAGGUAAGACCAGGAGAGGCCUGCAACAGGUGGUCCUCCCUCAGGAUUUAUGUGAGAAAUUCCUUGCUUCAGCAAUGAAGAACACUAAGGAAGGUAUUGAGACAUGUGGGGUGUCAUGUGAACUCCUGGUAAAUAUAUAAACAUUUCUUAUUCGAGGCACUUUUUUCCCUCUUGCCUUUCCAUGACUCUCAGGGAACAUAUCGAGGCUGUCUAUCUAUACAUAUAACCCUCCAGAAGGAGCUAUGAGUGACAAACCCUGUCAACCUUGAAUUUGAUGACUUUGUAUGUGGUUGCUUCUCAGAAUCUUUGAAUUCAAAAAUUUGGGCCAAUGCUAUAGUUAGAAAUGUUCUUUUCAGUUGGGGAUCAUGCCAGUAAUUCCAAUCAUUGGCAUAUUGAGGCUAGAGGCUUCUUACAAGAUAAAAUCAGACUCACAGAGUGCUAUAAAGCCUUAAAGAAAAGAAUGCAGACCAAAAAGCAGAGAAGCAGACAGUCAGGUAUAAGGCAGGGAAAAGUCUUGUUGUCAGUUGUGAAAAGAAAAGGAUGACUGAAUUGUUUUUGGUUCCUGGUCUGAUUACCUAAUCUGGUUAACCUUGGAAUGUAAAUUUUCUUGCCACCUCUGGAAUUCUAAGAAGACCUGCAGACUGACUCAGGGAAGAGAAUAGGUUCAGGAGGUGUCAAGAUGGACAUCUCAGGUUCUACUCAACAUCUGUUCCUUUAUACUGUACCUCAGCAAAAGGGAAGACCAUCCAAGGUCUUAAAGUACCAAAGGGAGAAAAAACACUGAGAUUCAUACCCUGGUGUGGGCUGGGACUUCAUGAGUGUUAUGAGUGGGUCUGAAUUGUGACAAGUUGUUAUCUCUUGACAGGUUGGAGAAGGGUAUCAAGUGAUGAUCAUUCUAAUUCCUGACCAGGAAGUAGGCCCAGAUUACUGUUUUGCUGAAAAUGAGGAGGAGUUUUUUCAUCCAAGAAGAACUGGGCCUCCUUACAUUCGGGUGGAUUCAUAAUUGGAAUUUUCACAUUGGCACCUACUGGACUAAAAGAAAAUAUCCCAUUGUCCACUGAGGGGGUUCCAUUCCCACAAACAGGACACAGGUCUCUUUUGUGACUGUUUCCAUGUCACCAUCCAGAAUACUAUGGUGACUAUCACAGUUUUGAACCAGUGGAAGGGAAAGCCCUUGGUCCUGUCAGGAUUGAACCCCCAGAGAACGUGAUUGUUUGGGGGAGG